AUUGAACGCUGGCGGAAUGCUUUACACAUGCAAGUCGAACGGUAGAGGGGGCAACCCCUUGAGAGUGGCGAACGGGUGAGUAAUAUAUCGGAACGUGCCCAGUCGUGGGGGAUAACGUAGCGAAAGUUACGCUAAUACCGCAUACGAUCUACGGAUGAAAGCGGGGGAUCGCAAGACCUCGCGCGAUUGGAGCGGCCGAUAUCAGAUUAGGUAGUUGGUGGGGUAAAGGCUCACCAAGCCAACGAUCUGUAGCUGGUCUGAGAGGACGACCAGCCACACUGGAACUGAGACACGGUCCAGACUCCUACGGGAGGCAGCAGUGGGGAAUUUUGGACAAUGGACGCAAGUCUGAUCCAGCCAUUCCGCGUGCAGGACGAAGGCCUUCGGGUUGUAAACUGCUUUUGUACGGAACGAAAGGUUUCUAUUAAUACUAGGAGCUCAUGACGGUACCGUAAGAAUAAGCACCGGCUAACUACGUG
rnacentral:rRNA from 1 species